AAUGAAUUGCCUGAAUAAAGGAGUACCUUGAUAGGGUAAAUUAUAUAAUGUAAAUUAUAUUCAUUA
rnacentral:tRNA from 1 species